rnacentral:rRNA from 1 species
GCGGCGGACGGGUGAUUAACACGUGGGCAACCUGCCCAUAAGACGGGGAUAACCCCGGAAAACCGGGGCUAAUACCGGAUAGGUGACCUUUCUGCGUGGAGGGGUCAUGAGGGGCGGCGGACCCCGUCUCUUACAGAGGGGCCCGCGGCGCAUUAGCUAGUUGGUGAGGGAGGGGCUCACCAGGGCGACGAUGCAUACCCGGCCUGAGAGGGUGAACGGCCACACUGGAACUGAAACGCGGCCCAAACUCCUACGGGAGGCAGCAGUAGGGGAAUCUUCCCCAGUGGACGGGAGUUCUGACGGAGCACCGCCGCGUGAGUGAAGAAGGCCUUCGGGUCGUAAAGCUUUUUUGUUCGUGAAAAAGGGGUUGGCCAGAAAAUGGGCCAACUUUUGCCGGUAGCAAACCAAAAAGCCCCGGUUAAACUACGGGCCAGCAGCCCCGGGUAACACGUAGGGGGCCAGCGUUGUCCGGAAUGAUUGGGCGUAAAGGGCGCGCAGGCGGCCUCUUAAGUCUGAUGUGAAAGCCCACGGCUCAACCGUGGAGGGACAUUGGAAACUGGGGGGCUUGAGUGCAGGAGAGGGGAGUGGAAUUCCACGUGUAGCGGUGAAAUGCGUAGAGAUGUGGAGGAACACCAGUGGCGAAGGCGGCUCUCUGGCCUGUGACUGACGCUGAGGCGCGAAAGCGUGGGGAGCGAACAGGAUCAGAUACCCUGGUAGUCCACGC